UACGUAGGGGGCAAGCGUUGUCCGGAAUUAUUGGGCGUAAAGCGCGCGCAGGCGGCUGUUUAAGUCUGGUGUUUAAGCCCGGGGCUCAACCCCGGUUCGCACUGGAAACUGGAUGGCUUGAGUGCAGAAGAGGAGAAUGGAAUUCCACGUGUAGCGGUGAAAUGCGUAGAGAUGUGGAGGAACACCAGUGGCGAAGGCGACUCUCUGGGCUGUAACUGACGCUGAGGCGCGAAAGCGUGGGGAGCAAACAGG
rnacentral:rRNA from 1 species